AGAGUUUGAUCUUGGCUCAGGAUGAACGCUGGCGGCGUGCUUAACACAUGCAAGUCGAACGGGAUCCAGGCAGCUUGCUGCCUGGUGAGAGUGGCGAACGGGUGAGUAAUGCGUGACCGACCUGCCCCAUACACCGGAAUAGCUCCUGGAAACGGGUGGUAAUGCCGGAUGCUCCGACUCCUCGCAUGGGGUGUCGGGAAAGAUUAUAUCGGUAUGGGAUGGGGUCGCGUCCUAUCAGGUAGUCGGCGGGGUAACGGCCCACCGAGCCUACGACGGGUAGCCGGCCUGAGAGGGCGACCGGCCACAUUGGGACUGAGAUACGGCCCAGACUCCUACGGGAGGCAGCAGUGGGGAAUAUUGCACAAUGGGCGCAAGCCUGAUGCAGCGACGCCGCGUGCGGGAUGACGGCCUUCGGGUUGUAAACCGCUUUUGAUCGGGAGCAAGCCUUCGGGUGAGUGUACCUUUCGAAUAAGCACCGGCUAACUACGUGCCAGCAGCCGCGGUAAUACGUAGGGUGCAAGCGUUAUCCGGAAUUAUUGGGCGUAAAGGGCUCGUAGGCGGUUCGUCGCGUCCGGUGUGAAAGUCCAUCGCUUAACGGUGGAUCUGCGCCGGGUACGGGCGGGCUGGAGUGCGGUAGGGGAGACUGGAAUUCCCGGUGUAACGGUGGAAUGUGUAGAUAUCGGGAAGAACACCAAUGGCGAAGGCAGGUCUCUGGGCCGUUACUGACGCUGAGGAGCGAAAGCGUGGGGAGCGAACAGGAGUAGAUACCCUGGUAGUCCACGCCGUAAACGGUGGAUGCUGGAAGUGGGGCCCCGUUCCACGGGUUCCGUGUCGGAGCUAACGCGUUAAGCAUCCCGCCUGGGGAGUACGGCCGCAAGGCUAAAACUCAAAGAAAUUGACGGGGGCCCGCACAAGCGGCGGAGCAUGCGGAUUAAUUCGAUGCAACGCGAAGAACCUUACCUGGGCUUGACAUGUUCCCGACAGCCGUAGAGAUGCGGCCUCCCUUCGGGGCGGGUUCACAGGUGGUGCAUGGUCGUCGUCAGCUCGUGUCGUGAGAUGUUGGGUUAAGUCCCGCAACGAGCGCAACCCUCGCCCUGUGUUGCCAGCACGUCAUGGUGGGAACUCACGGGGGACCGCCGGGGUCAACUCGGAGGAAGGUGGGGAUGACGUCAGAUCAUCAUGCCCCUUACGUCCAGGGCUUCACGCAUGCUACAAUGGCCGGUACAACGGGAUGCGACAUGGCGACAUGGAGCGGAUCCCUGAAAACCGGUCUCAGUUCGGAUUGGAGUCUGCAACCCGACUCCAUGAAGGCGGAGUCGCUAGUAAUCGCGGAUCAGCAACGCCGCGGUGAAUAAGGUCCCGGGCCUUGUAC
rnacentral:rRNA from 1 species